rnacentral:rRNA from 1 species
ACGGAGGGUGCGAGCGUUAUUCGGAAUUACUGGGCGUAAAGCGCGUGCAGGCGGCCUGUCAAGUCUGAUGUGAAAGCCCUGGGCUUAACCCGGGAAGUGCAUUGGAUACUGAUAGGCUUGAGUACUGGAGAGGAUGGGGGAAUUCCCGGUGUAGAGGUGAAAUUCGUAGAGAUCGGGAGGAAUACCAGUGGCGAAGGCGCCCAUCUGGACGGCUACUGACGCUGAGACGCGAAAGCGUGGGGAGCAAACAG